CCUACGGGAGGCAGCAGUGGGGAAUUUUGGACAAUGGGCGAAAGCCUGAUCCAGCAAUGCCGCGUGCAGGAAGAAGGCCUUCGGGUUGUAAACUGCUUUUGUACGGAACGAAACGGUUCGCUUUAAUACAGUGGGCUAAUGACGGUACCGUAAGAAUAGGCACCGGCUAACUACGUGCCAGCAGCCGCGGUAAUACGUAGGGUGCGAGCGUUAAUCGGAAUUACUGGGCGUAAAGCGUGCGCAGGCGGUUAUAUAAGACAGUUGUGAAAUCCCCGGGCUCAACUGGAAUUGCAUCUGUGACUGUAUGGCUAGAGUACGGUAGAGGGGAUGGAAUUCCGCGUGUAGCAGUGAAAUGCGUAGAUAUGCGGAGGAACACCGAUGGACGAAGGCAAUCCCCUGGACCUGUACUGACGCUCAUGCACGAAAGCGUGGGGANCAAACAGGAUUAGAUACCCUGGUAGUCCACGACCCUAAACGAUGUCAACUGGUUGUUGGGUGCUAUUAGUACUCAGUAACGAAGCUAACGCGUGAAGUUGACCGCCUGGGGAGUACGGCCGACAAGGUUGAAACUCGAAAAGGAUUGACGG
rnacentral:rRNA from 1 species